AUACAUUUUGGUUGGCAUAAUCCUACUUUGAAGUUCAUUGAAAUAUUUUAGGAUAUAAAUUCCUCAAUUCAAAUCACUUGUUCGAUGGCAGCCCAAUAAGUACGAAACAGGGCUUAAAGCCCAUUAAUAGCCUCUAUAUAAGAUAGUCCCAACUAAUAUCCUCAAAUGAAACCCUAAUUUUACUUUCUCCGCCUCAUUCUGGGCAGCUAACGACGCCGGAGUGUAGUAUUGAUUGUUAAGUUCUAUCGGAUUGCCCAAUGAUGGAAAAUCUAUGUAUAUUGAGCGGCUGUGAUGGUUAUAGAUUCAUCCGUUGCCUUUAUGCAUCACCUGAAUAUCAGCGGCAACCGCCAUUCUUUCUCCCUUUCCUUGUCUCCUUCAACAUCACACACUAAAGCACACUUGCACUUUUGCCGCUGAUGUUUAUGGUGAUGUAUGAAAGGCUUCUGAUGAGUUCCAUCACGAUUUAGCUGUCUGUGAUUUUGAAGCUAUGAGAUCUGAGGGCUCUUUUACAGUUUUAUUUCUCUCAAAUAUUCAGUACAGAUACAAUCCCCUUUGUGGGUGUAUAAAUUUGCAUAACCACUAAUUAUUUGUAAUUGCUUGUGUUUUGUAUAAUUAAUGUGAAUUUUUAAAAUAGGGUUCGAGUGAUUUUAAAUGUCUUACAGUUCAUAAACUAAUGAAAUCAAGUUUAUCUGA